AAGGCAUGUUAUAAUGCGUAUGAAAUAUUGCCUAUAUAAUAGUAAUUAUUUUUUAUCCUUAUCAGUGUUUAUCUCUCAUUGGAGCUCAAUUAAUUGGACUACUUCUAUAAUGGGAAUCUCAUCAAGCGCACCAAAUGGAAAAACGAUACUUCUUGAUAUGGCAUUGUGGGAUAUUUGGAAAGACUACUCCGGGAAACUUGAAGGCUACAUCUACACAGGAAAAAAUCACCACAAGGGUAUUUGCAUCCGAAAAAUGGGAGAAAUGAACAACGAAAAUAUUCUCAACUUUGAUCUUUCCGUGAAUAACAAGGCUAAAUGGGAAGUAAAGGUGACUUCUAGAUCUAGUGACUUGUGGAAUCCAACAGAUGACCAUACUUUUAAAACUACCAACACUUGGGCAUUGACACUACUAGUACUGGCCUUGAUUAAGUUUGGGAAUUCUUUUGGUGGUUGGCAUCUUUGCUGUAACAAUUGCCGCAAAUGGUCCAGUGGCUUUGUCGAGUUUAUUCAAGACCCUAAAGAGUACAAACACUUGAAUCUAGAAAACCCUCCAACUGGGAAUAUGAUUGAAUUUAAGGAGUACUAUAAAGAAAAGCAUAAUUGCUCCAUACUAUUUUCUUGAUCAAAAACAACUGGAAUGUGUUGAUGAACUAUGAACUAUGAACUAUAUAAUUACGUAUGAAUAUAAUCAUGUGUUAUCCGGAAGUACAUCCGGUAGCUUGAGUUGUGCUAAUUACUGUCCCGUGUCUGAUGAUUCUUAACUGAACAUUGA